CGCGUAGGCGGCGGACACAGUCGGACGUGAAAUUCCUGGGCUCAACCUGGGGGCUGCGUUUGAUACAUGUCUGCUUGAGUUCGGAAGAGGGUCGUGGAAUUCCCAGUGUAGAGGUGAAAUUCGUAGAUAUUGGGAAGAACACCGGUGGCGAAGGCGGCGACCUGGUCCGAUACUGACGCUGAGGCGCGAAAGCGUGGGGGAGCAAACAGGAUUAGAUACCCUGGUAGUCCACGCUGUAAACGAUGUGCGCUGGAUGUUGGGGGGCCUAGCCCUUCAGUGUCGUAGCUAACGCGAUAAGCGCACCGCCUGGGGAGUACGGCCGCAAGGUUGAA
rnacentral:rRNA from 1 species